GUGGGGAAUAUUGGACAAUGGGCGCAAGCCUGAUCCAGCCAUGCCGCGUGAGUGAUGAAGGCCCUAGGGUUGUAAAGCUCUUUCACCGAUGAAGAUAAUGACGGUAGUCGGAGAAGAAGCCCCGGCUAACUUCGUGCCAGCAGCCGCGGUAAUACGAAGGGGGCUAGCGUUGUUCGGAAUUACUGGGCGUAAAGCGCACGUAGGCGGAUAUUUAAGUCAGGGGUGAAAUCCCAGAGCUCAACUCUGGAACUGCCUUUGAUACUGGGUAUCUCGAGUAUGGAAGAGGUGAGUGGAAUUCCGAGUGUAGAGGUGAAAUUCGUAGAUAUUCGGAGGAACACCAGUGGCGAAGGCGGCUCACUGGCUCGAUACUGACGCUGAGGUGCGAAAGCGUGGGGAGCAAACAGGAUUAGAUACCCCUGUAGUCC
rnacentral:rRNA from 1 species